rnacentral:rRNA from 1 species
AUGGUAACUGGCGAACGUCAGCUGGGAGGCGGAUGGCAAGUGAACGUUUUUUUUGUGGCAACUUUACCUGGUAGGCGAUCACAAAUCCUGCCUUUUUUUUGCUGCAAUUUUUUUUCUUCCCAGAGAGUCAUUGAGCACCGCUUAAGAAGAAUGACAAGCGUGACCAAAAAUCAGUUUGGUUUCAUGCCUUGGAGGUCGACCAUGGAAGCCAUUUUCUUGGCACGACAACUUAUGGAGAGAUACAUGGAGCAAAAGGACCUGCAUAUGGUGUUCAUUGACUUGGAGAAGGUCUACGAUAAGAUACCGCGGAAUGCCAUGUGGUGGGCCUUGGAGAAACACGAAGUCCCAGCAAAGUACAUUACCCUCAUCAACGACAUGUACGAUAAUGUUGUGACAAGUGUUCGUACAAGUGAUGGCGACACUGAUGCCUUUCCAGUUAAAAGAGGACUGCACCAGGGGUCAGCUUUAAGCCCUUAUCUUUUUGCUUUAGUGAUGGAUGAGGUCACAAGGGAUAUACAAGGAGAUAUCCCAUGGGUUAUGCUCUUUGCGGAUGAUGUGGUGCUAGUUGAUGAGAGUCGGACGGGGGUAGGACCGGGUCCGGAAUAA